AAUGCCGCGUGAGUGAAGAAGGCCUUCGGGUUGUAAAGCUCUUUUGUCAGGGAAGAAACGGUGAUUUCUAAUACAGAUUGCUAAUGACGGUACCUGAAGAAUAAGCACCGGCUAACUACGUGCCAGCAGCCGCGGUAAUACGUAGGGUGCAAGCGUUAAUCGGAAUUACUGGGCGUAAAGCGUGCGCAGGCGGUUAUGUAAGACAGAUGUGAAAUGCCCGGGCUCAACCUGGGAACUGCAUUUGUGACUGCAUGGCUAGAGUGUGUCAGAGGGGGGUAGAAUUCCACGUGUAGCAGUGAAAUGCGUAGAUAUGUGGAGGAAUACCGAUGGCGAAGGCAGCCCCCUGGGAUAACACUGACGCUCAUGCACGAAAGCGUGGGGAGCAAACAGGAUUAGAUACCCUGGUAGUCCACGCCCUAAACGAUGUCAACUAGUUGUCGGGUCUUAAUUGACUUGGUAACGCAGCUAACGCGUGAAGUUGACCGCCUGGGGAGUACGGUCGCAAGAUUAAAACUCAAAGGAAUUGACGGGGACCCGCACAAGCGGUGGAUGAUGUGGAUUAAUUCGAUGCAACGCGAAAAACCUUACCUACCCUUGACAUGGAUGGAAUCCCGAAGAGAUU
rnacentral:rRNA from 1 species